rnacentral:rRNA from 1 species
AAUUUUCGACAAUGGGGGGAACCCUGAUCGAGCGACACUGCGUGAGGGAUGAAGGCCUUAGGGUUGUAAACUUCAAAUAGAGGGACGAUGGUGACGGUACCUCUUGAUCAGCACCGGCUAACUCCGUGCAAGCAGCCGCGGUAAUACGUAGGGGGCGAUCGUCGUCCGGAAUUACUGGGCGUAAAGGGUACGUAGGCGGCUAUAUAAGUCAGGUGUGAAAUACCAGUGCUUAACACUGGAAUUGCAUUUGAAACUGUGUAGCUUGAGUGCAGGAGAGGAAAGUGGAAUUCCUAGUGUAGCGGUGAAAUGCGUAGAGAUUAGGAGGAACACCAGUGGCGAAGGCGACUUUCUGGACUGUAACUGACGCUGAGGUGCGAAAGCGUGGGGAGCAAACA